rnacentral:tRNA from 1 species
GCCGACAUAGCUCAGUUGGCAGAGCAUCUCCAUGGUAAGGAGAAGGUCCGCGGUUCGAUUCCGCGUGUCGGCU